rnacentral:rRNA from 1 species
UACCAGCACCCCGAGUGGUCGGGACGAUUAUUGGGCCUAAAGCAUCCGUAGCCGGUCCUACAAGUCUUCCGUUAAAUCCACCUGCUUAACAGAUGGGCUGCGGAAGAUACUAUAGGGCUAGGAGGCGGGAGAGGCAAGCGUACUCAGUGGGUAGGGGUAAAAUCCUCUGAUCCAUUGAAGACCACCAGUGGCGAAGGCGGCUUGCCAGAACGCGCUCGACGGUGGAG